rnacentral:tRNA from 1 species
CGUCGCGCUGGUGCAGGAACAGCGGCUUGCCGUUUUCGGCGGCGAGCUGCAGCUGGCGCUCGAAGGCGCGGUGCUGCGCCGGGCGCGGCGA